rnacentral:misc_RNA from 1 species
AAGAAAAUAACCCGAGAGAUAUCAAGGAGACAUCGAAACUACAGACCCUCUCUGCGAUCUCUGAUUUAAACGACAUUGUUCUUAUAUCCGUUAAACAACCAUGUCUUCUGGUUUCAGUGGCGAUGAAACUGCACCUUUCUUUGGCUUCCUUGGCGCCGCUGCCGCUCUCGUCUUCUCCUGUAACCAUAAUUCUAUAAUUUGCCUUUGCUUAUUCUCUCUCUCUUUGUUUUUGAAUUAUAUGAAUAAUUUUAGAUCUUACUGUGUGAUUCUUUUUAUUUUAACUUCUACGUGUUUGGUUUCCGAUAAUCUGAUGGAAAAUGAAGUUAUUUAGGUUUCUGAUCGUUCGAUCGAUCUGAUGCAAUCAUAUGCCUACGUAAUCUCAUCUUAUUUAUGAUUCGCUGUUUCUUAAUCUUAAUUCCAAGUUUUGUCUUCGAUUGGGAGUGUUAUUGAUGUUGCUGUAGAUCUUUGGUUAUAUUGCUUAUUGGUUUUGUCAGAGUUCAUUGUUGUUGCCUAUUGUAUAAGCUCGCUUAGUUUGGGAUCCAUUGCUUGUUUCUCAAUUACUUAUCGAAGACGAGGGACACAGAUCAUUGAGAUUCAAAUUGAACACUGUUUUAUUUGCAAAGAUUAAUUUGCGAAA